rnacentral:rRNA from 1 species
AGCUCCAAUAGCGUAUAUUAAAGUUGUUGCAGUUAAAAAGCUCGUAGUCGAAUUUCUGUCUACUAACGGCUGGCUGAACUUUCAGCUUGGUAGUUGUAGGCAUCCUUCUAGGUCUCCUUAACGGGAGUAGCUUAGAGCCUUUACUUUGAGAAAAUUAGAGCGUUCCAAGCAAGCGAUUGCUUUGAAUACUACAGCAUGGAAUAAUAUUAUAGGACUUUUUACCUAUUUUUUGGUUUAGGUUGGAAGUAAUGAUUAAUAGGGACAGUUGGGGGCAUUCGUAUUUGACAGUCUGAGGUGAAAUUCUUGGAUUUGUCAAAGACGAACUACUGCGAAAGCAUUUGCCAAGGACGUUCUCA